UAAAAUAAACAUUUCAGCAGCUAGCAGAAUAUUGAUGGAGAAACUGCAACUUGAGCAAGCCUAACUGCAAAAGCGGCAAGGGAUGCACCACAGAAUGAGUCCCAGAAAGCAACUUGCAGAGGCUGGUGUGGCAAGAUAUGUUGCAUAGAGACUAGAAAACAAAAUCCAGUUCCAGUUGCAAGAACUCAAAAGUUGAUGUCUCUUCUCUUAUUGAAUGGUGAGGGAGGAUGACCUUUUGCCUGGACAUUUCAAAUCUCUGAAAGAAAUGUGAGUCACUAACCGAUUGGUUCAUGCUACCACUUCCAAGAAGAGAAGCAAAGUUGGACCACAAAGCAGAAAUAGGAUAAAAUGACCUGUCUCCUUCAGUAUAUUUCUUUCUGAAAUCCAAAGACACUUGGACGGUAGAAGACUAAGGUCCUGGGCUGUCCACCUCUGAGUUCUCCUGGUGACAUUAAGGACCUAUCUUGGAUAGGCACCUUUAAGUGUCUUUCUACUUUCCUACAAUUCAGGUUGCCCAGGAAAUGACUACAAUGCACCAGCAACUGACUACAGUCAUGUCCGUCCUUUGCUCCACCUGUUUGUUCAAAGCAGGAGCUGAUACUGCAAUAACUGAGCUAAAAGCUGACAGCUGAGUACAGAUCUAGUGAUAAGCAACACACAGACUUUCUCUUGGGUGAUAACCCACAUCAAUCAAUUGACCACUUCCUGAAGCUGACUACCCAACUGACAGUGGACAGGAGAACAAGAACACAGACAGAAACCAGGACCUCAGGGAAGGAUCAGGAACACAACAGAAAUCGGAGUUCAGGAAUCUGUGACAGAUAUUUGUUCAGCCAGCUGGACUUCAGCACAGGAAUAUCUAUUACCAGAAAGAAAGUAUUUGUCAUUCUGCUCACCCAUAUGUCAAGCCUUGCAAACAAAUCUUUCUGAAUGAUCUGUCAUUAUCCUCAAAGCAAGGUGAAUCUUCAGGACAGCAAAGUAUAGAGAUGCAAAUUUGAAUCCAAUCUCAGCCCUAAUGCUCGACCACAUGAUGGUAGGGGACUGGGAGUAUGGUUAAAGUAGGACACCGAGUCUGAGGUAAGAGAGCCAUACCCUACAGGCUCCUUGAUGGUUGACUGUAAUGAUAGUUUCAAAAGAAGCAGUCUACUCUGGAAGUCUCAGUACAGUGAUACAGCUGACAUGUGGGAAGAAUGGCCACAAAGAAUGAUGGACUGAGUGAAAAUUUGUGCUUUAAGUCAUACUAAACUGCUACCCAAGUCUCUUUCCCAGGGAUCCGAGUGCCUUGGGCAAUAUUUCCUUAUCACAUUCUCCCAGAAGGGAAUA